AGCAGCAGCCGCGGGAAAACGGAGGGUGCAAGCGUUAAUCGGAAUUACUGGGCGUAAAGCGCACGCAGGCGGUUUGUUAAGUCAGAUGUGAAAUCCCCGAGCUUAACUUGGGAACUGCAUUUGAAACUGGCAAGCUAGAGUCUUGUAGAGGGGGGUAGAAUUCCAGGUGUAGCGGUGAAAUGCGUAGAGAUCUGGAGGAAUACCGGUGGCGAAGGCGGCCCCCUGGACAAAGACUGACGCUCAGGUGCGAAAGCGUGGGGAGCAAACAGGAUUAGAUACCCCAGUAGUCCCUGUCUCUUAUAC
rnacentral:rRNA from 1 species